CCUUUAAUUGUGGGCUAGAAUGAAAGGACAAACGAAAGAAAAGCUGUCUCUAAUUUACUUAUAAAAAUUGACCUAUAGGUGAAGAGGCCUAUAUAUAAAUAAAGGACAAGAAGACCCCGUAGAGCUCUGCCUUAUUCUAAAUACUAAAAGUAAUUAAGCUUAUAAUUACAAAAAACUUUAGUAAAGGCUUGGCUGGGGCGGCCAAGGAACAAUUAAUCUUCCAUUUGUAACUAAUUAGCUCUUUAAGAUCUUAUUUUUCAUAACAUAAAUUGACCCUUUUUAGAUCAUAAAAACAAGCUACCUC
rnacentral:rRNA from 1 species